GGGGGGGGGGGGGGGGGGGGGGGGGGGGGGGGGGGGGGGGGGGGGGGGGGGGGGGGGGGGGGGGGGGGGGGGGGGGGGGGGGGGGGGGGGGGGGGGGGGGGGGGGGGGGGGAAAAGGUCCCAGAUUCACCAAAAAUCACCCAAAAUUGUCCCAAAAUUACCCAAAAUGAUCCAAGAUUCACAAAAAAUGGUCCCAGAAUCACCCAAAAUCACCCAAAAUGAUCCCAGAUUCACCCAAAAUGAUCCUUAAAUUACCCAAAAUGAUCCCAGAUUCACCCAAAAUCACCCAAAAUUAUCCCAGAUUCACCCAAAAUCACCCAAAAUCACCCAAAAUCACCCAAAAUGAUCCCAGAUUCACCCAGUUUUUCCCAAAAUCACCCAAAAUGAUCCCAGAAACUGCUCUGGGGGGGGACAGAAACUGCUCUGGGGACACAAACUGCUGGGGGGGGGGGGGGGGGGGGGGGGGGGGGGGGGGGGGGGGGGGGGGGGGGGGGGGGGGGGGGGGGGGGGGGGGGGGGGGGGGGGGGGGGGGG
rnacentral:lncRNA from 1 species